GGGGGGGGGUGGGGGGGGGGCUGGGGGAGGGGGGGCGAGCGGAGGGGUGAGGAGCGUGCUCCGCUGACGUUAGCGGCGGACGGGGGAGGAACACGUGGAUCACCUACCUAUAAGACUGGGAUAACUUCGGGAAACCGGGGCUAAUCCCGGAUAAUAUAUUGCACCGCAUGGUUCACUAGUGAAAGCGGGUUUUGCGGUACGUUAUAGCGGGCUCGCUGCCGCAUUAGCUAGUUGGUGAGUGAACGGCUUACCGAGUGACCGAUGCAUAGCCGCGCUGCGAGGGUGAUCGGCCACACUCGAACUGAGACACGUUCCAGACUCCUACGGGAGGCAGCAGUAGGGAAUCUUCCGCACUGGGCGAAAGCCUGACGGAGCAACGCCGCGUGAGUGAUGAAGGUCUUCGGAUCGUAAAACUCUGUUAUUAGUGAAGAACAAAUGUGUAAGUAACUAUGCACGUCUUGACGGUACCUAAUCAGAAAGCCACGGCUAACUACGUG
rnacentral:rRNA from 1 species